rnacentral:lncRNA from 1 species
GCCUGACUUGGCGGGGGUGGGGUGGGGUUGGCAGAAGCAGGAGAGAGCAGGAGAAAGGGCAGAAGGAGACUGCCUCUGAGACCUUCCAUUGUUCUCCAGGUCAAAGUAUUCAGCAUGCCACUGCACCAUAUUUUGGGGCGUCAUGGUCAUUUGUUAAGCAUCAACAAAAUAGUGCUGUAUAGCUGAGAGGAUGUGCAGAGAGAACAAUACAUUCAACGAGACCGAAAAUGGAAAAAAAAUUCACUUUUAUUACCUUAAAGAUGCCAAACAGUGCCAUUUUAUGACUGUGGGAAGCUGGAAGUCAUUUCUGAACUCUUUUGGCAAGAGUGCUAUGUAGAGCAUCCAACUCAGCCCUUUAAGUGUCUUCUGAGAACCGCCACACAGCCAGUGAUUUACCGUCUUCAGGAGUUAAAAGGACGCUUUCUGUUCUGAAACGGAAGAAAGGUGAUGCGUGUUUAGGACGCUUCCCAAUGACACUCCGGAGGACCUGAGACAGCCCGAGGAUGUCUGAGAACUGUCACGGAUAGAGAUUUAUUACAUUCAGAAGCCAGAAGACUCAUCUUUCCAAGAAUAUUAAAAUGGUUUGCACAAGACAGAAAGGACACUAGGAAUUCCUUUAGAUGCUUGAGUCCAAGUUCCAUUUUGCUACCUUUCCACUGGAAGACCUUCAGCCAGUUGCUCAAUGCCUCUGGAUUCUGAUGAGCGGUGUGCACUGCUGUGGAAUUCCUCAAGCGAGCUAGACCUAAAGCUUAGGAUGAUGAUCACAGCAAUUACAAACACAAUAGAGGGACAAAUCAUCCAUUAUCAAGUUCAACUCAUCAAGGAUAUCUUCCCAGAUUCUCUGGGUAGAUCAGACCUGUUGACUAGAUCCUCUCUCAACAAGCAAACCUUUCCUUCCUACACUUGACAUAGGACUAUUACAUGUUGAAGCAAACCACUGUUUGAAAAAAUAAAUGUCUACUACAUUGCCAGCUUUAUGAAUGUAAGAAUGUUUUGCUGAUACAUUUAUAUAUUUCUGGCACCUAAAGUGGUGCCCAGCUGCUCACUUAAUGUUUGUAAGUGAAUUAGUGAAAAUCUCUGCCCUAAAGGGCUGUUGAG